rnacentral:rRNA from 1 species
GACGAACGCUGGCGGCGUGCUUAACACAUGCAAGUCGAACGGAAAGGCCCUGCUUUUGUGGGGUGCUCGAGUGGCGAACGGGUGAGUAACACGUGAGUAACCUGCCCUUGACUUUGGGAUAACUUCAGGAAACUGGGGCUAAUACCGGAUAGGAGCUCCUGCUGCAUGGUGGGGGUUGGAAAGUUUCGGCGGUUGGGGAUGGACUCGCGGCUUAUCAGCUUGUUGGUGAGGUAGUGGCUUACCAAGGCUUUGACGGGUAGCCGGCCUGAGAGGGUGACCGGCCACAAUGGGACUGAGGUACGGACCAGACUGCUACGGGAGGCAGCAGUGGAGAAUAUUGCACAAUGGGCGGAAGCCUGUGGCGGAAACGCCGGGUGCGGGAUGACGGCCUUUGGGUUGUAAACCGCUUUCGCCUGUGACGAAGCGUGAGUGACGGUAAUGAGUAAAGAAGCACCGGCUAACUACGUG